ensembl:lncRNA
CAAAACUAAUUAGACAUGAACGUUGGUGAGCUGUUCACACUUACUGGAGGCCUAGAGGCUACUUCACCGUCAAAUAUAAAAAGCACUAAUUGAGUACAUUAAUGACAGGCAUCAUUAAGAGGGUACGUCUUGCAAUGUAGAGCAAUAGAAUAGCUAUUACUUUAGCAAACAAUUAUUGCAGAUCAUAUCUUGUUGGAUUUGUUGCAUCUCUACUACAAGGCCAUCAGACAUCCAGGUGACCUGAAAUCGGACAAAGUAUCUCGGACUGAGUAUUUUUUCUUUAAACCAAGCUAGUCUGCUAAAUUUGUUAUUGAUUCUAGUGUUUUAAGUUAAUUUGAUUGCUGGUUUGCUUUAGCUCUUGCCGUUUUUUAUUGCCAGUUGUUGUGAUAGACUCUACUAUUAAGUUAACUGCUCGCGUGACCUCCUAACUUUGCUAGGUUUGACCUGAUCGGUCUAGUCUUCUAAAGCAGAAGAGACUUGAAUCGUCUCAGUUUGUCAAAACACCACAUUCCCGGACUCCCAACAUCACUGCGACAACACGAUCCUGUAGAUACUCGCUCUACAACAUCAGGAGAACACGUCCUCUUCUCACUCAGAAGGAGGUACUGAUUCAGGCUCUUGUCGUCUCCUCCUGGACUACUGUAACUCUCUCCUGCAGGUCUCCUGCUACCACCAUUCCACCUCUGCAGCUCAUCCAGAAUGCAGCAGCUCCACUGGUCUUUAACCUUCCUAAGUUCUCCCUCACUCCUCCACUCCUCCGCUCUCUUCACUGGUACCGGUGGCUCAUCCAGUUCUAAACACUGGUGCUCACGUACCAUGCUGUGAAUGGAUGGGGUCCAGCUUCCAUCCAGGACCUGGUCCAACCCGACAUCCCGACCUCUGACCUCUCCGCUCUGCAUGUGAUAAACUGCUUGUUCCUCCUCACUGAGAGCAAAACACUCGACUAGAUCUCCACUCUUUGCUGUCCUGCUCCUAAAUGGUGGAAGGAGGUCUCUGAAGACAUCAGGACCACAGAGAGCCUUCACAUCUUCAGACUAAAGACACACCUCUUCACACUCUACCUCCACUAACACACUAACUGUAGCACUUACAUUGGACUUGUAACGUCACUCAUCUAUAGCAAAUUGUAAAUUGGCUUAUUUGAGGAAAUUUAACUUUCUUGUUCUUGUUGAGUUUGUACCGCUAUGACUGCACUUAUUGUAAGUCGCUUUGGCUAAAAGCGUCAGCUAAAUUACAUGUAAUGGUCAUAUCAGGGUCAGCUUUUUGCAUAUAAAAGAAACUAAUAUUUGCUGUCCCAGCUACAUGGCUUAGACACUAAUAAUAUAAAAAGGAUUAAUCAUUGAAAGAAAGUAAAAGGUAACAUUCAUGUAGAGAUGAAAAAAAAACAUCUCCACUUGGGGUUUUAUUCUCUUGGAUUAUCUCACUCCGUCAAGCGUCAAGCACGGUACCGCAAUUCAAACUGGAGCUAUUUGUCAAUUAAUCAAUCAGCCAAUUAACCCUGAUAGAUUGCCUGUGUGCACUAUCUGGUUUAAUUAAAGAAGAAGGGCAACCUCAAAAUGUCACAUUAGCAAACAAGCAUGAAAUAAAUAACGUGCGUUUUGACUGGAGCCUGAAUGGGCCCAAAAAAGUAAACCGUCACAAUGCAUAAUAUACUGUCCAGAAAAUGAGUGAGCUUUGGAGGAACGCAGGGUGGAACCCUUUGCAGACUGUCACUCCAUCUCUGGGUUAGUUAAUACAGGACUACAGGCACCUCCAUAAGCAAACACUCUGUCGUUAACAUACAUCCGCUCUUUAAAGACACAUUCCUGAUUGUUGAGUUUUAGUUUAAAUAUGGAAGGAAGUGACACUUUGACCAACUAGAAAAUUCCGCAGAAAUAAGGCUGUGACCUAUACAGAUGUCUGCGCAUGAGUCGGCCACGCAGGCAAGUGAAGGCUAGCCACAACGGCUAGCUAGCAAGCUAAAGACAUGAGCGAUUUCUUCUGGCUGUUUUAGCCACAGGUCCUGGUAUUGCCAGUGCCAUGUUGGCGCUUUUUCUUGCCUGGCUGUAUCACAAGACUCAUCUGUAACCACUUUGUAAAAAAAAUAUAACAAAAAUACUCUAUGACUCACUGAUGAGUGGGGGGGUGAAUUUCCAAUUACUCUUCUCAGGCUCUCCAGUCGGACGUUAGCCGUGCAGCUUUUUUUUCAAGGACGGAGAAGAGAAUGCAAAAAUGUCUCUCGGGAUUUUUUGCCUGCCCUCCGGGCUUUGAUGUAUAACCCCCCCACCCCGCGUGAGCCCACGGUUGCAAUAUGUGUGGCUGGUUUUCCUCGCUCCCUUUCUGUUGUGUCUGUUCUGGUGGAAUGCAAUGUUAUAUCAAACAGGAGCAGACCAGGAAGUCCAAGCAAGUUUGAAACACUUCCGUCAGGCAAAAUGUCCUCGGCAGCCGUGUGAUAUGAACAUGCUUAAUGCAUGCUUUUUGGUCCGUGGAAUACCAUGAGAAAUGCACAUCAGACCCCUGUUGGUGCUAAAACAGGUUCCUCUUUGGAGUUCUCUGCUUGCAUCUCGCUGAAUAAUUGAAGCUUCAAUUGAGCAGUGGGUAAAUGAGGAUACGGGGGUUUUGGCUAACCGCCUGCCCCCCCGUAUGACGGGAGAGCUCCCUGUGAGUUGGCCUCUCGGUCAGUAUUUACAGUCUUUUCAGCACUGACACUUUGAAGUCAAUAAGCCUCUGCAGAUCAACAUUUUCUCCCACACGAUGCCCCAGAUUGAUGAAGCGUCUCAAAAGCUUCAAAUUCAGCUCAUUUGCUCGGCCGGGUGGGCUGCAGUCUUUGCGUUCCUCGAUGCCACUUUGAGGGUGAAACAAAACACACACAUACACUGUGUAUCUGUACUCCAAUCUUUAAUUCCAGGUGUUUAUCCCAGAUCUUGAAUCCAGUAGCCUCCCCACCCCCCUUCUGCUUCUGCCGAAUCCUGCUAUUCAAUUCCGGGCUUGUUUUGUAGCGAACAUCCAGCUGCAUCAUAAUACCUCUUCGUGGCUGAAAACAGUAUGUAUGUCUGGGUGGCUUGUGUAUAUUAGAAAACUGGUCAGAAUGACUGAGAAAGCCCGUCUCGUAGGCUAGUCGCCCCACAAUGGCUGAGGCUGCACCUCUUUAAUGCGGUACUCAAGCUGACAGAUGAGGCUUAUCUCCCACAAGGAGAGAAACUGGCAGAGCCCCUCCCCUUGCCAGGCGAUCCAUACGGGUACAACAGAGGGAGUUUUUCAGGAGUUCAUCAGUUCACAUCACAGAUAAGGCUAUUGAGAUGGAGGGGGGGUGGGGGCUCAACUUACUAUGCAGUCAGCAGUGCUCCAAUCUUAAGACCUUGAAAUUCAUGCUCAACUUCAUGUCAGUACUUUUCCUCCCAAUCAUUUUAUUUCACAGUUACAACCAAAUGUUCCCAAACAUUUUGACUUAGUCUGUUGCAUAUUGUAACAGCUACACAUUUUGAGAUAUACAGCCAGAGCUACACACUCUAUUCAUUAGCAUUUAAACCCCCUUAAAUUGUCGUUAUUUUUUCCCCUCACUUAUAUGAAAUUGAAAACGUAAUUUCCAACCACUGAUAGAGGCCAACUGAAAGAAGCGUCAGCAUGUUAUUAAGUUACUAUCAUCAUUCUUCAGUUUGUACUUCUGAGCCUCAGCCAGUCAGGACGUUUUACAGAAUCAUAAAUUCAUAUUCGCCAUUAAUCUCAAGACCCAAAAAUGCCAUUCUAUUGCACUUUAUCCCAUUCAUGCUUAAGCUUGACUGCUUUUGCCAGCAUUUAUUUUAAUUGUUGCACUAAAUCUCAAGUUACUUCACACCAACAUCCCAAGUCAUUUCACACCAUCUGCUGCUCUAGAGUUUGCCUCUUCCCUCUGUUCUUUUCAUUGGACCACCCCUCAAUCCAUUUGUGGAUUAAACGUCUCCGGGUAUAAAUUAGACUGCUUUGCCUCUGAUGCCACGUGGUGAAUAUAGUAUCAGGUCGCAGGGCUACAAAUCUUUCCUUAAGCAUCGGUGGGGGAAUACUAAAUGUAAACGUCCAGGGACUCCGUGCCACCAAGUCAUUAUUAAAGAGGAAGGCGGUGCUUUAUGUGCCGCAGCAUUAGUGAUUGUUUAUGCCGAAGCAGUGUUAAUUUCGUCGACGAAAACUAUGAUGAAAAUUUUUCGUUAACAAACCUUUUUUCCAUGACUAAGACGAGACUAAGACGUGACGAAAACGAUCUUAAAAUAAAAACUAUGACUAAAUCUAUUCUAACUUUCGUUAACGAGACGAGACGAACAUGUUGGUGGUUGACGAAGUCACGAUACUUUUUCCCCCUAAAUUUGCACGCAGCUGACAGACAGACAGACAAAGUACGGCGGAUAUUAACGCGCCAUGAUGACGUCAUCCACCAACCCAGAACGCUCGCAUCACAUCGGUCCAGCAGUGGUUCUUGUGCACCGACUACGGACCGAGACGACUAUUUUACGCUUCGGGGGCUUUGAAUGUGGCUUCGUUAGUUUAGCUCAGCUGUCUCGGUUUAGCUGCCUGUUUAGCGGAGCUUUCUGCUCUGUUCUCUGGCGACGGCAGGCAGCGUUUCCUCGGCUGGAUGAUGAGACGCUCCGUCACAGGCUUCUCCAAACACGUCUAACAUAAUAAAGUUAUUGCAGGUUCUGAAGCCAAGAAAAUAAUGUAUUGCAAGGAUUGUAGGACGUUAAGGUCUCUUUAGUUGGGACAGUGGAAACAAUAAAGGAGCAUGAAGUGUCAAAAGCAUUGCGAGUAAACAGACAAAGACAACAAAGUGUUGCGUUUAGAUCCCUGGUCCUCAUGAAGUUGUUACACCUUUGCCAAUUUGUUAAAUUGCCUUGCAAAUAAAUGCUUUGCUAUUUGUUCAAAUCCAAAUCCUUUCAUGUGAUGAUGUUUCACACGUCAUUUAUAUCAGCUCACACAAACACUUCAACCAUUUAUUGUUGGCCCGGCUCCUCCGUCACAUUUUACAACCCAUUGUGGCCGCGAGUCAAACCGUUUGCCGACACCUAUAGACCUGUCCUAUAGGAGGGACAUCUAUAGGCCUGUCCUAGGAGGGACAUCUAUAGACCUGUCCUAGGGGGGACAUCUAAUGGACAACCAAGUACUGCAAGCUAGACUAUUAUGCAUCUGUAGACACAACACAGGGGGUCCCUGGGCCUGAGAAGGGAAGAAAAGGAGUUUAAUAUGGCUAUUAAAUGUGACUAAAACUAGACAAAACUAAUUACAUUUUAGUGUAGUUUUCAUCGCUGAAAACUACACUAAAAUGUUCUGAGUUAAACUAAAACAAAGAAGGAUUAAAAUGACUAAAUGUGACUAAAACUAAUAAGCAUUUUUUUGUCUAAAGACUAAGACUAAAUCAAAAAUAGCUGCCAAAAUUAACACUGUGCCGAAGACAAAGAGCAGGAUUGUCUUAUUCAACGAGAGGCCAUUUCCAUUGGUGAUGGUCCGCCCAAAGCAGGAGGUAUUGUUGACCUUGUUGCUGGCGGACGGUCCAAAGUGAAGAUCUGUGUGUAUUCUGGGACCGUGUAACGUCAGAGUAGCAUCUGGCCAUCAGAUACAGUGUAGCAUCAUUUAUGGGGGGGACAGAGCAUGUUAUGCAGAUAGAAGCAGCUGUUACGAAGCUGCAAAAUGAAUCAUCGAACAGUCGACGCAAAGAUGCUCACAAUGAAGCGCAUAUGUUGGUAGAUUGCAGUUUUGUUUGCAAUUUUAAUCGUUUUUCUGCUUCUACAUAAAACUGGUGAAAUGCUGCCAUGUGUGAAUGUGUAAAUCUUUAGAUCAGAGCUGUGAAUUGAGACUGUUUGCUAGAUGUGGUAUUUAUGUAAUAUCCAUGCCUGGGCUGCAGGUGCAUAGGCGGACAGUCAUCACACCAAAACAUUCUGAGCAUAAAUAUGCAUCUGGUGGAGAUCCAUUAAUCAGUGGAUCAAUCACGCACCUUAAACGUGCAGUCAUGUUAAUCUUAUUUGUAGUUUACCAAGGCUGGUUGUCCCCUUAGCGCUUAGCUGUGUCCAGUACGUUUAUCAGCUUUGAGUUUUAAAGAGGAAAAAUGAUUGAGAGCAUGUUCACAUGAUUCAACGUAAAAAAAACUAAAACCAUUUUUCCCUCACACUGUGUGAAUGUACCUACUCGUGUUUCCGUUUUAGCACUGAUCUCUUUAGCCACUCUCCCAAAAAUAAGAGAAGUAUGGUGCACCUCUGCAAAGGCAGUUUUCAGGCCUAAAAAAUGCAUGUAACUCAUUCCUUUGCUUACACCGAGAUUCUGCAAUACUUUUGUUAAGAAGAUCAGCCAUUACACCAUCUUACUCCUGUAGAAUAGAUAAUAACUGCCAGCGUUUGUUUUUUUUAUCUCCCUGUGGUAGGGGUAAAGUUCAUCAAAACUUCACACUUGUGGAGGUGGGCUGUGCAUCUUCAUUGGGAAAGGAGCUAGGAAGUGGGCGGCUAUUCUGGAUGUCUUGUUGAUGUGUUCAUUUCAGUGUUAAUUUUGGCAGCUAUAGUCUUAGUCUUUAGACGAAAAUGGAUAUUAGUUUUAGUCACAUUUAGUUUUAGUCACAUUUAAUAGCCAUAUUAAACUCCUUUUCUUCCCUUCUCAGGCCCAGGGACCCCCUGUGUUGUGUCUACAGAUGCAUAAUAGUCUAGCUUGCAGUACUUGGUUGUCCAUUAGAUGUCCCUCCUAGGACAGGCCUAUAGAUGUCCCUCAUAAGACAGGCCUAUAGAUGUCCCUCCUAUAGGACAGGCCUAUAGAUGUCCCUCCUAUAGGACAGGCCUAUAGAUGUCCCUCCUAUAGGACAGGUCUAUAGGGUCGGCAAACGUUUUGACUCGCGGGUCUCAGUGGGUUGUAAAGUGUGACGGAGGCCAACAAUAAAUGGUUGAAGUGUUUGUGUGAGCUGAUAUAAAUGACAUGUGAAACAUCAUUACAUGAAAGGAUUUGGAUUUUAACAAAUAGCAAAGCAUUUAUUUUCAAGGCAAUUUAACAAAUUGGCAAAGGUGUAACAACUUCAUGAGGACCAGGGAUCUAAAUGCAACUCUUUGUUGUUUUUGUCUGUUUACUCGCAAUGCUUUUGACACUUCAUGCUCCUUUAUUGUUUCCACUGUCCCAACUAAAGAGACCUUAACGUCCUACAAUCCUUGCAAUACAUUAUUUUCUUGGCUGCAUCAUAAACCAGCCAUUCUAAACUGGACCCCCACUUUUCAUUCAAGUCUUUUCUUUCUCUUUGUUUAGUUGUUGGUUUCAUGACCAGUUCUCCUCUCUUGUGUCCUGCGGGUUUUCCUCCACCUGCUCUGUGCCGCCACGUCCUUCACCUGCACUGCGCACUUCUAUCAAAAGGAUCCACCUGUCACGCGUGUGGCGCCUCUACGUUGCUUAGUAACGAGCGUACGGUGGCCGAGACGGUUUCACACCGUCUUCUCACGAUGUGGCGCGUGAACUACAGUUAGAAAUGCGUGAGGCUUCAGAACCUGCAAUGAGUUUAUUACGUUAGACGCGUUUGUGACGGAGCGUCUCAUCCAGCGAGGAAACGCUGCCUGCCGUCGCCAGAGAACAGAGCAGAAAUGUCCGACAGUCUUUAAACGGGUCUUCAGCCUGCUAACAGUCAGCUAAACCGAGACAGCUGAGCUAAACUAACGAAGCCGCGUUCAAAGUUGCCGCAGCGUAAAAUAGUCGUCGCUGUCCGUAGUCGGUGCACAAGAACCACCGCUGGGUUGGUGGAUGACGUCAUCAUGACGCGUUAAUAUCCGGCGUACUUUGUCUGUUGUCUGUCAGUUGCGUGCAAAUUUAGGGGGAAAAAGUAUCGUGACUUCGUCAACCACCAACAUGUUCGUCUAGUCUCGUUAACGAAAGUUAGAAUAGAUGUGACACUCGACAGUCAACUCUCCCUGACUCCCAACUUCACUGCGACAACACCAUCCUGUAGAUACUCGCUCUACAACAUCAGGAGAACACGUCCUCUUCUCACUCAGAAGGCAGUGCAGGUACUGAUUCAGGCUCUUGUCGUCUCCUCCUGGACUACUGUAACUCUCUCCUGCAGGUCUCCUGCUACCACCAUUCCACCUCUGCAGCUCAUCCAGAAUGCAGCAGCUCCACUGGUCUUUAACCUUCCUAAGUUCUCCCUCACUCCUCCACUCCUCCGCUCUCUUCACUGGUACCGGUGGCUCAUCCAGUUCUAAACACUGGUGCUCACGUACCGUGCUGUGAAUGGAUGGGGUCCAGCUUCCAUCCAGGACCUGGUCCAACCCGACAUCCCGACCUCUGACCUCUCUGCUCUGCAUGUGAUAAACUGCUUGUUCCUCCUCACUGAGAGCAAAACACUCGACUAGAUCUCCACUCUUUGCUGUCCUGCUCCUAAAUGGUGGAAGGAGGUCUCUGAAGACAUCAGGACCACAGAGAGCCUUCACAUCUUCAGACUAAAGACACACCUCUUCACACUCUACCUCCACUAAAAAGACAAAUUGUAGCACUUAAGUGGCGUUAUAAGUACAAUGCAAUUUGCUACAAAUCGAAAAUAGAAAAUUGCACAUUCUUGUUUCUUGCUCCUCUGAGUUUGUAUCCUUAUGGUUGAAUGCAUUUAUUGUAAGUCACUUUGGAUAAAAGCGUCAGCUAAAUGACAUGUAAUGUAAUUGAAGUUAAGCCACUGUCAUCAUUGCACUGUACAUUCAAUACGAAUUAAUUCCAGCUAAAGGUACAUG